UACGGAGGGUGCAAGCGUUGUCCGGAAUCACUGGGCGUAAAGGGCGCGUAGGCGGCUCAUGAAGGCUGUGGUGAAAGUCCGGGGCUCAACCUCGGAUCGGCCGUGGCGACUCGUGGGCUGGAGCACUGUAGAGGCGGGUGGAAUUCCGGGUGUAGCGGUGGAAUGCGUAGAGAUCCGGAAGAACACCAGUGGCGAAGGCGGCCCGCUGGGCAGUGGCUGACGCUGAGGCGCGACAUCGUGGGGAGCAAACAGG
rnacentral:rRNA from 1 species